rfam:Octopus bimaculoides Scaffold20395_contig_260, whole genome shotgun sequence.
GUACUAACUUCGGCUGUACAUAUUCUAAAAUUGGAACGAUAAAGAAAUUAACAUAGCCCCUGCGCAAGGAUGACACGCAUAUUCGUAAAGCGUUCCAUAUUUUU